GUAGGUGGGCAAGCGUUGUCCGGAAUUAUUGGGGCGUAAAGCGCGCGCAGGGCGGUCCUUUAAGUCUGAUGUGAAAGCCCACGGCUCAACCGUGGAGGGUCAUUGGAAACUGGGGGACUUGAGUACAGAAGAGGAAAGCGGAAUUCCACGUGUAGCGGUGAAAUGCGUAGAGAUGUGGAGGAACACCAGUGGCGAAGGCGGCUUUCUGGUCUGUAACUGACGCUGAGGCGCGAAAGCGUGGGGAGCAAACAGGAUUAGAUACCCCGGUAGUCCACGCCGUAAACGAUGAGUGCUAAGUGUUAGGGGGUUUCCGCCCCUUAGUGCUGCAGCUAACGCAUUAAGCACUCCGCCUGGGGAGUACGGCCGCAAAGGCUGA
rnacentral:rRNA from 1 species